rnacentral:rRNA from 1 species
GACGAACGCUGGCGGCGUGCUUAACACAUGCAAGUCGAACGGUAAGGCCCUUCGGGGUACACGAGUGGCGAACGGGUGAGUAACACGUGGGUGAUCUGCCCUGCACUUCGGGAUAAGCCUGGGAACUGGGUCUAAUACCGGAUAGGACUCCGGACUGCAUGGUCUGGGGUGGAAAGCUUUUGCGGUGUGGGAUGGGCCCGCGGCCUAUCAGCUUGUUGGUGGGGUGGUGGCCUACCAAGGCGACGACGGGUAGCCGGCCUGAGAGGGUGACCGGCCACACUGGGACUGAGAUACGGCCCAGACUCCUACGGGAGGCAGCAGUGGGGAAUAUUGCACAAUGGGCGCAAGCCUGAUGCAGCGACGCCGCGUGAGGGAUGACGGCCUUCGGGUUGUAAACCUCUUUCAGCACAGACGAAGCGCAAGUGACGGUAUGUGCAGAAGAAGGACCGGCCAACUACGUGCCAGCCGCCGCGGUAA